UGAAAUAUGAAAGUUUUGAAGCAGAAAAAGUUUUCAUGUGUUUAAUUUUAAGUGGAAAAUUUAGAGCAAGAUGGGCACCCCCGACCCUGGAAUAACAGCAUGAAAGCAUGCUUGCAACCAUUAAAGGAAGGAAGUGGAGAGACCUCGGUGGGGUGCACACUUUUGGGUACAGAAGGGAGGGUGACUGUCUUUUCUGCAGCAGGCACUUCUUGGUAAGGUCAUAGUUUGGGAAGCGGAGGAGAAUGUGGGCCCCAGAAUGGGGUACUGGCAGGGCUCGAUCUUUCGUCCUUGAAACUCAUUGUCUGUGUUAGGUUCUGCAGAAGUAGGCCCAGAGAUGACUUUCAUAGUUCAGAUCCUGUGAGGUAUCCCAGGAAACACAGGCGAUGGCUGGGCCUGGGAAGGCAGUCUGGCAAAUCCAAAUGCCAGUGGUGGUGUACGCUUAGGUUUUGCUAAGGUAGCAGCAAUCCCAAGCCGAGUGUGACAUCUUUUGCUCACAUCAGUGGAGAAUGAACAGCAGUGACCUUCUGAGGCCUGUUUGAAAGGCCGGGUCAGGGUCGUUGAGUGUUCUCUGACUCUGAAGUGUCCGGGCUAUACAGACAUAAGGGCCUGCCACUGACAUAUUUGUGCUCAAAGCUGCUGGCCUCUGCUUCUCUGACUUGAGCUGCAGUAGUAGAAGGCCCAGUACUCCAUCCAGCAGCUACCUUAAGCACCCAUUGUGCCACCUCACAGCUUCCUUGAGGAGUGUUGUUUACAGCAAGGCAGAUUGGAUAUGCAGAGGUGCGAGCAUGGAUACUGAAGAGCUGGCUCUUACACUCUGGGAGCUGUAGGGGCUGAGAAGAGAUGGUAAAACACGGAAUACUUAAAAUAUGCACACUAAAGUAGAGACACUGGGCGUUCUGGGUGGGACUGGGGAGAGGUUUGAGAAAGAUGCCCGAGGGGACUCCUGAACGAGGAAUAGAAACGAAGCAGGCUGAGACAGAGGAGGGUUUGUAUCCUGGGAGGCACGCAGAAGUAAAUGGGUGGCAGACUGUGGCUGAAGUCGGGCAGGGGUGCAUGGGGCAGGGAACUAGAGGUGGGAGGGAGUGUGAGCUGGCUUUGAUGGAGGGUCUGAUGUGUUAUGCCUACACUCUUGGAUUUUUCUCUACAAGCAGCGGAACCUCCCAAACUUUUAGUCAGGAAAGGGACACAAGGAGAUCUGGGACAAGUGUGUGAGCUGGGGAAAGAAGAGGAGGGCCAGACAGAGUAAGAUAGUGUGAGAGGUAGGCCAGUGAGUUAGAAGCCAUUCCAUCAUGGAGGAGAGGCAGAAGAAUGACCAAAUGUGUGUGUACGUGUGUGUGUGUAUGGUGUUUGUAUGUGACUAUGUAUAUGUAUGUAUGAGUGCAUUCAAGAUGUCAUUUCUUAACUUGUUUGAGGCAAGCCUCUUGUUGUUUACUGCUAUGUAUGCCAGGGUAAGCCAACAAGCUUCUGGGAAUUUUCCCAUCUCCACCUUUGUCUUGCCAAGGAGAGUUGGGAUUACAGGUAUGCACUACUAUGACCCUUUUUAAAAAAAUUGCAUUAUUCAUUUUUUUUAUUCACCCAUUCAUUCCUUCUCUGUGUGUGUGUGUGUAAGUGCAUGCCACAGCUUGUGAACGGAAGUCAGAACAACUUGCAGGAGUAGAUUCUCUCCUGCUACCAUGUGAGUCCUGGAGAUAAAAGUCAGGUCCAACUCUGUAGCAAGUACCUUUACCUGCUGAUCCACCCCACCAUGCCCAGCACCUAGCUCCAUGGGGGUUCUGGAGAUCCGAACUCAGGUCCUUUGCUUGUGCUGCCGUACUUCACAGACUAAAGGACUAGAACAGGAGGGAAGGUGGAGC
rnacentral:lncRNA from 1 species